rnacentral:rRNA from 1 species
CUAUACAUGACUCUGCGCAUAUCAAUAAGCGGAGGAAAAGAAACUAACAAGGAUUCCCUUAGUCACGGCGAGUGAAGCGGGAAGAGCUCAAAUUUGAAAUCUUCAAGGUUCUACCUUGACGAAUUGUAGUUUAUAGAAGUGUUUUCUGUUAGUGGAGUGGCAAAAGUUCUUUGGAAUAGGACAUCAUAGAGGGUGAGAAUCCCGUAUUUGGUCAUUCCUCCUAGCGUUGUGAUACACUUUCAACGAGUCGGAUUGUUUGGGAAUGCAGUCCAAAAUGGGUGGUAAAUUUCAUCUAAAGCUAAAUAUUGGCGAGAGACCGAUAGCGAACAAGUACCGUGAGGGAAAGAUGAAAAGAACUUUGAAAAGAGAGUUAAACAGUACGUGAAAUUGUCAAAAGGGAAGCGUUUGACACCAGUGUUGUUUUUCCGAAAAUCAAUUAAAAAUUGAUUCAUGCCAGGUUGUAUUGACCUUAUCAGCUUGCAAUUUGGUUUUGGGUCUCUUUUUGAUGCACUUUUCGGUUAACAAGUCAACAUCAAUUUCCUUUGCUGUAAAAAGGUAAGAGGAAGGUGGCUUCAAUUUCGGUUGAAGUGUUUAUAGCCUUUUAUCUCUGCAGUCGGGGAGAUUGAGGUCUGCAGCGUAGAUCCUUCGGGGCUAGAUACAUUUAUGCUAAGUUAUAGCUUUUCAUAGACAACUUGUUGACUAUGUUUAGUCAUGUAGCUUACUCGUAAGUGCUAUUUUACCUACGCUUAGGAUGUUGAAGAUAUGCGCGACACGACUCUAUACAUGACUCUGUGCAUAUCAAUAAGCGGAGGAAAAGGCGCUUACCUACGCUUAGGAUGUUGAAGAUAUGCGCGACACGACUCUAUACAUGACUCUGCGCAUAUCAAUAAGCGGAGGAAAAGAGGGCUAUUACCUACGCUUAGGAUGUUGAAGAUAUGCGCGACACGACUCCUAUACAUGACUCUGUGCAUAUCAAUAAGCGGAGGAAAAGUACUACCUACGCUUAGGAUGUUGACACACGCGCGUGCUCGACCCUAUACAUGACUCUGUGCAUAUCAAUAAGCGGAGGAAAAGUAAAUGCUGUAUACCUACGCUUAGGAUGUUGAAGAUAUGCGCGACACG